CUGGGGAUCUCGAGUCCACCCCGUUAAUCCUCUCGGGAAGGCAUCACAUGCCAACAACUUUGCUCUCGCCGCCUAAUUACUAGGCAGCCGUCCUCCGCGGGCCGCCCGCGACUGCGGAAGGACGCCACAGCGGGCUGGCAGAAGAGGCUCUCCGACGCGCCGAAUCUGCGAGAAACAAUCGACGGUGGUCGCAGGGCAGCCGGUCCGUGGGCGGCCCUGCGAUGACGAAAACCACGGGCUACGCACGUAGAAGCUCUCGGCGAGCGGAUUCCGGGACGCGGGUUCGACUCCCGCCGCCUCCACCA
rnacentral:tmRNA from 1 species